UACGUAGGGAGCAAGCGUUGUCCGGAAUCAUUGGGCGUAAAGCGCGCGUAGGCGGCCCCGUAAGUCCGCUGUGAAAGUCAAAGGCUCAACCUUUGAAAGCCGGUGGAUACUGUGGGGCUAGAGUCCGGAAGAGGCGAGUGGAAUUCCUGGUGUAGCGGUGGAAUGCACAGAUAUCAGGAGGAACACCAAUAGCGAAGGCAGCUCGCUGGGACGGUACUGACGCUAAGGCGCGAAAGCGUGGGGAGCGAACAGG
rnacentral:rRNA from 1 species